GACGAACGCUGGCGGCGUGCUUAACACAUGCAAGUCGAACGGAAAGGCCCUGCUUGCGGGGUACUCGCGAGGCGAAAGGGGGAGUAACACGCGGGUGAUAUGCGCUGCACUUCGGGGUAAGACUUCGGGACAGGGUGUAAUAUCGGAUAGAGGAGAUUUUUAUGGUGGUGGGUGGAAAGUUUUUUCGGGGUGGGAUGGGCUCACGGGCUGUCAGCUUGUUGGUUGGGGAAUGGCCUACCAAGGCGGGGAAGGGUAGGCGGCCUGAGAGGGUGGACGGCCACAAUGGGGCUGGGGUUAGGCCCAGACGUCUAAGGGAGGCAGCAGGGGGGAAUAUUGCACAAUGGGCGGAAGCCUGAUGCAGCGACGCCGGGUGGGGGAUUACCGGCUUUCGGUUGUAAACUCCUUUCGCUAGGGACGAAGCUGUUUGUGACGGUAAUUAGAUAAGAAGCACCGGCUAACUACGUG
rnacentral:rRNA from 1 species